rnacentral:lncRNA from 1 species
AAAGUUGUCUUUUUGGGAAUAAUUUUAAGCCAUUUUUUUCAAAUUGGGAAUCUUCUCCAGGGGAAAAAGCCUUUCUUCUCUACUAAUUUAAGGCAAACAAUAUCACUGGGCAUUAUGCUUAUAUAUACAUGUAUAUAAAUAUUUAAUAAUAACAAGGACCAUAAGCUCUUAAUUAAAGCUCUUUAAAGGAUUAUGUACCCUUUUGCUAAACAUUGAAAUUUCCAAGCCUUUGUACUCUAAUAUUUGACCAUUCUAUGCUAUAUAGAUAGAGCAUUAAUGCAUGCAAUGAUUUCUUUUAUAGUACAAGUUUAUAAAUCAAAAUACUGGUUACAACAAAUGUAAAUAUGAACCAAUUCAAGUACAUCUUCUAAUGUGCCCUCUACUUUCAGAGUGACUCACCAGGUUUUUUGGAAUGUAAAGGUUAUUCAGUAUAUAUAAAAAAAAGAAGAUGUGGUACAUGUAUGAUUGCCAAUAAGACAACUCUCCUCAAAAGACCAAAAUGACACAGAAAUUAACAACUAUAGGUCACUGUACAGCCUUCAACAAUGAGCAAAGCCCAUAUGGCAUAGUCAGCUAUAAAAGGCCUUGAAAUGACAAUGUAAAAAACUCAAUAAAAAAACUAAUGGCCUUAUUUAUUUUAAAAAAUGAACGAAAAACAAAUACAUGUAUGUAACACAUAAACGCACGACAACCACUUAAUUACAGGCUCCUGACUUGGGACAGGCACAUACAUACAUAUAGUGGCUGGGUCAAACAUGUUAGCAGGAUCCCAACCUUUUUGUAAAUAACAAAUUAAUCAUUGCAUCCCAUUAUCCCAUUUUGUAUUUUAUGCAAUAAAACAUUAAAUAAUAUAGCUGCUUUGAAAGGAGUUUCCCCUUGGGUUACAUGAUCUUACAUGUAUGAGUGCAAAAUGAAACAUCUCUUAUAUUGAUUAUCUUUGCUGUUUUGACAUGUUUGAUAUUAUUGCACUAAGAAAAUUCCCCCUUUUUUUUCUUCAAACCUUUAGAUUUUGAGUGUUGCAGAUGCUGUUCAGUUUGCAGAGGUAUUUGAAAUGGAAAAAAAGAGAUAUAUGAACAUACAUUGACUGCUUUGAACUUAAGGUGUAAGUACAUUGUAUAUAUAUGAUAUAAUUAUUAGAUGAUCAGCUUAUCAGUGAAUGUAAAAACAUUUAUUAGAGUUCAAUAUUUCAGUUAAAGUCACAUUUUUUUUUAAAUUUGUGUAUAAAGCAAGGCAAAUGUAAAAGAUAGUUUGUUGAUAGUCAUGAUAGUACAUUACUCAUCUUACAAUAUCAUACUUCUAGAAAAUCACAAUUUUAUUGGACUGUUUUCCCCUGUUGAAUAUACAAUUGAUAUUAAAAUGAAUCAUCAGUAACACAAGAAAAUUGUAUCUUUAGAGGCAGAUUUAGGGGGCAGUGGGCUGAACCUCCCCCCUUUUUUGUGCGAAAAAUUUGGUUGAUUAUAUAGGGAAUCACUGAAGCAUGACUAGAGUGGGCCCCCUCUGAUGACUAUUUAUGUAUAUAUGCUUAUGAUCUUUAUAUAAUAACAUACUGUUACACAUUUUGUUUUAUUCUUGAUUUAUAUUAUCCUAUUAUCUAUAUGAUUCUUCUCUUUUGUAGGUAAAAAUGAGUUACAUGUGCCAAAAAAUAUGUUGAAAAUUUGAAAACUGUUAACAAGAGCAUCAACAAAUAGAAAAAAGAACAAUACCAGGUCUAGACUUUUGUGGCUGCAUGCAAUUAUUUCUAAAAUACCAGGAAAAAAGAUGUAGCUGCACAGCAGACACCCCAGAUCAUAAAAUUGCAUGUAAAAAAGGAAAGCAUUCCUUUUCAUAGAAUCAAAGAAUAUCUUUUAACCAAGUCAAGAUGUUAUUAGACAUGUUAUUAUAUAUAUACUAUAUAUUAGUAUUUACAAAUAUAAGAAGUAUGUGUGACUAUGUCAUGUGACAUGUAUGCUGAGAAUAUUUUAAUGUCACAAAGUUAUGAAAUGGAUAAAUGAAAUAUUGUCAACCAUUUAAAUAAAACAGACAAGCUCACAUAAAAAUCAACAGCCUAUGUGAAAGUUCAACUUCAAGUUUAAUAAAAUUGUUUAGAUUUAACAUACCAUAUAUCCAAAAGUACAGAAUUGCCUUUGUCAGAAAUUUUGUAUGUUUAAUAGAAUGAUAGUUGUAGCUUUUAUUUUCUUGGAACUGUUUCAAUAUAAAAUAGGGAGAUGUGGUAUGAUUGCCAAUGAGACAAAUUUCCACCAGAGACCAAAGUAAAUGUUAGAAAAUACAGGUCACAGUUAUGUUUGACAUUGUGUAGCAAUAUAUGAAAGACACAAAGAUUACAGAGUGUAAAAUAAUUCAAACAAGAUAACCAACUAUCAAUGAUUCCUCUUAAACCAGCCAACUCACUGAAACUAAACAUAAAAGCCAAUUAAAGUCAUAUUCACAAUAGGUACUAUUUUGGGUCAACAGGGAAUUCAAAAUACCAUCAAAGGCAAUGAAAGUCAACAUGAAAACUCAAUAGCUAUAGUA